rnacentral:rRNA from 1 species
GAUCAUGGCUCAGAUUGAACGCUGGCGGCAUGCUUACACAUGCAAGUCGAACGGCAGCACGGGGGCAACCCGUGGUGGCGAGUGGCGAACGGUGAGUAAUAUAUCGGAACGUACCCGGAAAUGGGGGAUAACGUAGCGAAAGUUACGCUAAUACCGCAUAUGCCCUAAGGGGGAAAGCGGGGGAUUCGCAAGAACCUCGCGUUUUCGGAGCGGCCGAUAUCGGAUUAGCUAGUAGGUGAGGUAAAGGCUCACCUAGGCGACGAUCCGUAGCUGGUCUGAGAGGACGACCAGCCACACUGGGACUGAGACACGGCCCAGACUCCUACGGGAGGCAGCAGUGGGGAAUUUUGGACAAUGGGCGCAAGCCUGAUCCAGCCAUGCCGCGUGAGUGAAGAAGGCCUUCGGGUUGUAAAGCUCUUUCGGUGGGGAAGAAAUUGCACAGGAUAAUACCUUGUGUAGAUGACGGUACCCGCAUAAGAAGCACCGGCUAACUACGUG